GAUGAACGCUGGCGGUGUGCCUAAUACAUGCAAGUCGAGCGAACAGACGAGGAGCUUGCUCCUCUGACGUUAGCGGCGGACGGGUGAGUAACACGUGGAUAACCUACCUAUAAGACUGGGAUAACUUCGGGAAACCGGAGCUAAUACCGGAUAAUAUAUUGAACCGCAUGGUUCAAUAGUGAAAGACGGUUUUGCUGUCACUUAUAGAUGGAUCCGCGCCGCAUUAGCUAGUUGGUAAGGUAACGGCUUACCAAGGCAACGAUGCGUAGCCGACCUGAGAGGGUGAUCGGCCACACUGGAACUGAGACACGGUCCAGACUCCUACGGGAGGCAGCAGUAGGGAAUCUUCCGCAAUGGGCGAAAGCCUGACGGAGCAACGCCGCGUGAGUGAUGAAGGUCUUCGGAUCGUAAAACUCUGUUAUUAGGGAAGAACAAAUGUGUAAGUAACUAUGCACGUCUUGACGGUACCUAUUCAGAAAGCCACGGCUAACUACGUG
rnacentral:rRNA from 1 species